GAAGCCUCUGUAAAGACAUCGCAAGUACAUUUAAGUAUUAUUUCUAACCAGUAUCAAUAUGUAAGUGAUGUGCUAUAAAAUACAUACAAUGUACUUCAUAAACAGACACAUUGUAAAGCUAUACUUUGAUGAAAGAUUUCGUCAUAAAAGGUUUCAUAGCAACUCUCUAGAUCUUUAGGCGGAUGUUGUCAUUAAGUAGCAGACUCUUUAUCUUCCGGUUCCGGUUCACCUGUCACAUAUUCUUGUACUGUUUCAUUGGUCAAUUUAAUUUGUUCCUUUGACAAUAUUUAAUUAUCUAAUGUGGUUAAGACGGUUCUAUUUACACAGGGCUUUAAAUGUGAAGGAAAUGCCCCGGUAUUUGAUUUUAAAUCUGCUAGAAAUCACUCCUUAUGAACGUUUACACAAUCGAAAAUAAGAAAACUUGUAGCCGAUGUCCACAUUUGUCGGUUGCAAUUAUUUUGACAGCCGUUGAUACAUUCGAAAGCAGCGUUAGGGACCCAUCAUGAUGUGGCAGUGAAUAAAUAGAAUAUAUGAUGAAUAAAAUAUACUUUCGGUAUAUUACCAGAGUGGUAAUAUAAGUACUAAUUAUUUUGUACUUUGCAGUUAUUUUAUUACAGGUAUCUCGAUCUAUUUUAAUACAUGUAGCCGUCAAACCUGUUUGUCCAGUUCAUAUGUCCACCUGAAUAUGUUUCACCUGUAUUGUAUUGUCAUGUUAAUGUCUUGUCACGUGACUGCGUGUUCGUACGUGUACUUGUGAGUUUUAUUUGUCACUCCCGCACUCGACAUUAGAGGUACCUGACGUACUUUAUACAUGCGACAUCUAUGACAACAUACAGUGUUAAAUGCAGCAAUAUCCUAAAAUGAAUUAAACAUGUAGACGUCGGAUCAGAAUUGUUGAUAUUGUCAUUAAGACCCCUGUCGGAUUGAUAGGGGUCUUAUUCGUAAUAGAAAUAAAGAGUGCUUAAACGGAAACAACAGUAUUGCUGUUUUAAUUCAAUGUAGCACCGACCCGGCUACAAUGAUAAUACAGUGUUUUUACUCAUACGGACGUAGUACAGCAAGAACACAUUUGUCAUAUGCUCAAAAUCACAUGUUGCUGGUAAAUUGGAUACCAAGUAGGGAGGAUUUGGUUAUGUUGUGUAU